rnacentral:rRNA from 1 species
GAUGAACGCUGGCGGCGUGCCUAAUACAUGCAAGUCGAGCGAACAGAUAAGGAGCUUGCUCCUUUGACGUUAGCGGCGGACGGGUGAGUAACACGUGGGUAACCUACCUAUAAGACUGGAAUAACUCCGGGAAACCGGGGCUAAUGCCGGAUAACAUUUAGAACCGCAUGGUUCUAAAGUGAAAGAUGGUUGUGCUAUCACUUAUGGAUGGACCCGCGCCGUAUUAGCUAGUUGGUAAGGUAACGGCUUACCAAGGCAACGAUACGUAGCCGACCUGAGAGGGUGAUCGGCCACACUGGAACUGAGACACGGUCCAGACUCCUACGGGAGGCCGCAGUAGGGAAUCUUCCGCAAUGGGCGAAAGCCUGACGGAGCAACGCCGCGUGAGUGCUGAAGGUCUUCGGAUCGUAAAACUCUGUUAUUAGGGAAGAACAAAUGUGUAAGUAACUGUGCACGUCUUGACGGUACCUAAUCAGAAAGCCCCGGCUAACUACGUG